AGCUCGACCGGGUCGACGGCGCGGGUGGCCAGCAGGUAGUCGCGGAGCGCUAUGCCGUGCCGGCCCUC
rfam:Streptomyces sp. CB03911 scaffold20, whole genome shotgun sequence.